rnacentral:rRNA from 1 species
UACGUAGGUGGCAAGCGUUGUUCGGAAUCACUGGGCGUAAAGGGUGCGUAGGCCGCACGGUAAGUCAGAGGUGAAAUCCCGGAGCUCAACUCCGGAAUGGCCUCCGAUACUGCCGUGCUCGAGGACUGGAGAGGAGUCUGGAAUUCACAGUGGAGCAGUGAAAUGCGUAGAUAUUGUGAGGAACACUAGUGGCGAAGGCGAGACUCUGGACAGUUCCUGACGCUGAGGCACGAAGGCCAGGGGAGCAAACGGG